GACGUAGGGCGCGAGCGUUGUCCGGAUUUAUUGGGCGUAAAGAGCUCGUAGGCGGCUUGUUGCGUCGACUGUGAAAACCCGCGGCUUAACCGCGGGCUUGCAGUUGAUACGGGCAGGCUAGAGUUCGGUAGGGGAGACUGGAAUUCCUGGUGUAGCGGUGAAAUGCGCAGAUAUCAGGAGGAACACCGGUGGCGAAGGCGGGUCUCUGGGACGGUACUGACGCUGAGACGCGAAAGCGUGGGGAGCGAACAGG
rnacentral:rRNA from 1 species